rnacentral:rRNA from 1 species
UACGUAGGGUGCGAGCGUUAAUCGGAAUUACUGGGCGUAAAGCGUGCGCAGGCGGUUCGUUGUGUCGGCGGUGAAAGCCCCGGGCUUAACCUGGGAAUGGCCGUCGAAACUGGCGAACUGGAGUGUGGCAGAGGGGGGUGGAAUUCCGCGUGUAGCAGUGAAAUGCGUAGAGAUCCGGAAGAACACCGGUGGCGAAGGCGGCCUGCUGGGCAGUAGCUGACGCUGAGGCGCGACAGCGUGGGGAGCAAACAGG